rnacentral:rRNA from 1 species
UAAUACGAAGGUGGCAAGCGUUACUCGGAAUGACUAGGCGUAAAGGGCAGGUAGGUGGUCUUGUAAGUCUGCUGUGAAAGCUCCCGGCUCAACUGGGAGAGGCCAGCGGAUACUGCGAGGCUUGAGUAUAGGAGAGGGUACUGGAAUUCCCGGUGGAGCGGUGAAAUGUGUAGAUAUCGGGAGGAACACCAAUGGCGAAAGCAAGUACCUGGACUAUUACUGACACUCAGCUGCGAAAGCUAGGGGAGCAAACAGGAUUAGAUACCCUGGUAGUCCUGGCUGUAAACGAUGCACAUUAGACGUGGGGGGUAUCGACCCCCUCCUUGUCGACGCUAACGCAUUAAAUGUGCCGCCUGGGGAGUACGGCCGCAAGGUUG